rnacentral:rRNA from 1 species
AUGGCUGAACCGAAGACGGGUGAGCACGUUGUUGCAGAUGGCUUCGACUUUCCUCUUUUGUUUGUUCCGGAGCUGAGCCCGCCUCCGCCGCCGUUGGUGUUCACAUUAACUAUUAGAGUAGCUCGUUAUGUCUACAAGCUUGAUGAUGGAAGCGAGCAAGUUGUUGACAAGCAUGAUGUUGUGUUUGAUUUCAACAUUUCUGGUAUGUCAUGGGUUAGCUUCAAUGAAGCUGUGGCAGAACAUAUCAAAAUGGGGAUAGGCCAGGAGAUACAUAUGGCACUACAAUUGAGUAUCAUACGCUGUGGAAAGGCAAAGAUAUAG